AGCCUGGUGAGUGCAAUGGUGUUUACAACUAACUGAUCACAACCAGUUAUAGAUUUGUUUGUUCCUUCUCUCACUCCUACUCCUUCACUUGACCAGCUUUAA
ensembl:misc_RNA Y_RNA Y RNA